rnacentral:rRNA from 1 species
GACGAACGCUGGCGGCGUGCUUAACACAUGCAAGUCGAACGAUGAAGCCCUUUCGGGGGUGGAUCAGUGGCGAACGGGUGAGUAACACGUGGGUAACCUGCCCUGUACCCUGGGAUAAGCCUUGGAAACGAGGUCUAAUACCGGAUAUGACCUGCUCUCGCAUGGGGGUGGGUGGAAAGUUUUGGCGGUGCAGGAUGGACCCGCGGCCUAUCAGCUUGUUGGUGGGGUGAUGGCCUACCAAGGCGACGACGGGUAGCCGGCCUGAGAGGGCGACCGGCCACACUGGGACUGAGACACGGCCCAGACUCCUACGGGAGGCAGCAGUGGGGAAUAUUGCACAAUGGGCGAAAGCCUGAUGCAGCGACGCCGCGUGA